rnacentral:rRNA from 1 species
AUAGAAUUAUUGCUGCGGUUAAAAAGCUCGUAGUUGGAUCUGUGCCAUAGGACGGGGUCCACCUUCGGGUGCGUACUCCGCUCCUAGGCUUUUUGCUGGUUUUCCCGUCGUAGCCUUCACUGGUUGCGGCGGGUGGCUGGCGAGUUUACUUUGAGAAAAUCAGAGUGCUCAAUACAGGCGUCUAGCUUGAAUGAUUGUGCAUGGAAUAAUAGAAAAGGAUUUCGGUCCUCUUUUAUUGGUUUUGUGGACUGAGAUAAUGGUUAACAGGGACAAACGGGGGCAUUCGUAUCGCUGCGUGAGAGGUGAAAUUCUUGGACCGUAGCGAGACGCCCUACUG